UACGGGGGGAGCAAGCGUUGUUCGGAUUUACUGGGCGUAAAGGGCGCGUAGGCGGCCACCUCAAGUCAGUUGUGAAAUCUCUGGGCUUAACCCAGAACGGUCAGCUGAUACUGCGGGGCUAGAGUGCAGAAGGGGCAACUGGAAUUCUCGGUGUAGCGGUGAAAUGCGUAGAUAUCGAGAGGAACACCUGCGGCGAAGGCGGGUUGCUGGGCUGACACUGACGCUGACAGCGCGAAAGCUAGGGGAGCGAACGGG
rnacentral:rRNA from 1 species